rnacentral:rRNA from 1 species
AUGACGAGGGCGAUGGGCAUCCCCGCAGCUCGGAAAUGCUCGCGAUGCCGUUCAGAGCUUGUGCCCGUGCAGUACGACGAGCGCCAUCUCUUCCCAUUGGUCGGUGGACCAUGGCCGUGCAGCUCGGAGAUGCUCGCCAUGUGGUUCCGGACUUGUGUGUGUGCAGUCGGGAGAGCGCCAUCUCCAUCUCUUCCCGUGUGGUCCGUCAACCAUGGUUGUGUAGCUCGCAGACGCUCGUCGUCCGGUUCAGGGCUCAUGCGUGUGCGGUCCUGCGAGGGCCAUCUCUUCCCUUGCUCGUAA